GAGCCUACACAAUUUUCUACACAUUUUCUUGACUUGGAAGAAUGCAAUAAGAUGGCAGUAUAACAAAAUGGAGGAAUCCUGGCCGAGAUUCAGAUCAUGGAGAAGCCUCAUUCUGUACUAUGUACAUUAUAGAUGGGCAUUGAAAUAUUGACUGCACACAUGCAAGCCUUAUACACAACAAAUAAAUCAUGGAAUCUGAAGCUGGGACCACCAGCGGGAACUGGAGAAAUGCGCUCUUAUUUAAGAGCACACUUCUGUGAUUUCUUCUUUAGGUGGACAAUUUUGUGCAAGGGUUACAUGCUAAGUGAACUUGACCAGGAUUCAGCCACUUUUCAGAAAGGACUGCAUUUCAUUCUCCUGCUCAGGAAAGAGGGUGGACAUGGUGUACAGUCCCCACAGCCAACCCACCCUCACAUUUUCCCAGUGCAGCUAUGGGUGACCUUUGUGAGCAAGUGGCACUACAGGAUCUAGCCUGUGCUGGAUCAGCAUCAGGAAAUCAUGGGCAAGAGAGAAGAGCUGCUGCUUUAUAUAGGGUAUAUGUUCCCAGCUGGACUCAACCCCUCUCUGGUAUGUGUCUCUUCAUCACUGAAGCUGACAGUUCAUUAUCAAUUACCAUCAGGCCUGUGGCAUUCUUCUAGUAGAGAUAUUUUUCUCUGUUCUCAUGUUCAUCAAAAGUAGCAAAAGUAAAGAUUUCUAAAUGUAA